rnacentral:tRNA from 1 species
AGUCGCGUGACCGAGCGGAGAGGUGAGGGUCUGCAAAACCUUUAACGGCAGUUCGAAUCUGCCCGCGACGU